rnacentral:misc_RNA from 1 species
AGCGUGUCCAACUUCCUGCGUCUCUUAGAACUCGCAGAACCUGUUCGUGGGUUGGUGCAAGCUGGCAAGCUAUCGGUCGGACACGCAAAGCUGCUCGCCGGCCUGACGGACCACGACGAGCAGAUCGCAAAGGCCGAGCUGGUGGUGAACCAGGGCCUGACGGUGCGCAACCUUGAAACGCUGAUUCUUUCGGGACGGGAGGGAGAGG